AGAAGCGUGAAGAAAGAUGACAACAAAAAGGACGCCACGCAGGCACAAGACAUCCCUGUCAGCCCAAACUCCCCGAGCCGGUUGUCAGUCAUAAACAGUCCAGACCUGGAUCCCAUCAUCACAGACUUCAAGUGAGUGUCUUAAAAUCACAUUAAGGAAAAUGACCAAACCGCUCCCAAACUGACCGAUUAAUAUCUGAGAAAUCAGUAAAUCUUUGUGAGAACAGUGCA
ensembl:lncRNA